AUGCUUGAUACUACUGUGCCAUUAGGUGAAUAUCUUGAUGAACAAUUUGCUAGGGUUAGAGAGAAUGAAAUAAUUGAAAAUGAAAUCAUUGAUGAAAGCAAUGAUGAAGGUUCUCCCCCUAGUUAUGAAUUGCAUGUUGUUUCUGAGGGUUAUGUUAUGGAUGAAGAAGUUGCUAAAGCUAUUUUUGCUUGCAAUGAUAGAUAUGAUGAGAAGUCUCGCUAUUAUUAUAUCCUUAAGAUAUUUUCGUUCUCAUUAAAGGAUGACUCUAAAACUUGGUUUAAUUCUCUUGAUCCUGGUUGUGUGCGUAGUCCCCAGGAUAUGAUUUAUUACUUCUCUGCUAAAUAUUUCUCUGCUCAUAAGAAACAAGCUGCCUUGCGGGGAAUAUAUAAUUUUGUGCAAAUCAAAGAAGAGAGUCUCCCACAAGCUUGGGGGAGGCUUCUCCGAUAA
rnacentral:rRNA from 1 species